rnacentral:rRNA from 1 species
UACGGGGGGGGCGAGCGUUAUUCGGAAUUAUUGGGCGUAAAGAGCGUGUAGGCGGCCAGGUAGGUCUGCUGUGAAAACUCGAGGCUUAACCUCGAGCUGUCGGCGGAAACCAUCUGGCUAGAGUCCGGAAGAGGAGAAUGGAAUUCCCGGUGUAGCGGUGAAAUGCGCAGAUAUCGGGAAGAACACCCGUGGCGAAGGCGGUUCUCUGGGACGGUACUGACGCUGAGACGCGAAAGCGUGGGGAGCGAACAGG